CAAUAGCGUAUAUUAAAGUUGUUGCAGUUAAAAGCUCGUAGUUGGAUUUCUGGCAGGAGCGACCGGUCCGCCGCAAGGUGUGCACUAGGUUGUCUCCAGUCAUCUUUGUGGGAACUGCUCUGGCAUUAGGUUGUCGGGGUUAGGGAACACAUCGUUUACUGUGAAAAAUUAAGAGUGUUUAAAGACAGGCUUAUGCCGUUGAAUACAUUAGCAUGGAAUAAUAAGAUAGGACUUUGGUGGUCUAUUUUGUUUGGUUUGUCACACCAAGGUAAUGAUUAAUAGGGAUAGUUGGGGGUAGUUCGUAUUUAAUUUAGUUCAGAGGUGGAAAUUACUUGGAUUUAUUGAAAGAACGAACUAACUGCGAAAGACAUUUACCUAAAGAAUGUUUUCUAUUAAUUCAAGAACG
rnacentral:rRNA from 1 species